rnacentral:lncRNA from 1 species
GAAGGACAACGAGACUGAUGAGCUUAAUAAGGCGCCGCUUCUUCUCUCGAUGGAGUAGAUUAAAUAUCUCCGUCACAUCUACCAGAUGCUGACGCUGCUGAUAUCUAAAAUGUCAUUGAGAAUUAUUCACUUCAAAAACACUUCAGUAAAGAUUGAAGCUGGUAUAAAUGAUUAAAAUAUUCAAAUUUCAAUAUAAGCACAAUCAAAAGAACCAUUUUUUUUCUUCCUUCCCAAUUAUAAAUCACUAAGGGAAUGCAGUAAGCAAUUCAGCCUUAAAAUAAAUUUUAGUUUAUGAUCAAUGAUUUUCACUAGCUGCAGCUGAAACCACAGUAUUGGCAGAGUAUAACCCCAUGUUGUUGACAAGGCCCGUAAGACCCUUUGUUCUAAUAUUUUCAAGCCAAAGGGUUCUAAGUUGUUUCAUAGCUCCUUUGCUUUACCACUCAUACAUUUGAAUGACUGAUUCAUGAUAUCAAUCUCUGAAUGUACCAAAUAUAAGCAUCAUUCAUGCUGUUGCAUCAUAUUUUGAAAAAACAACGUUGAUAGUUAAUUUGAGGGAAUUUGGCUUUCCCCAACUUACCCAUUAGUUUAAUGAAAUCCUGUGUUACCUUCAACAAACUUUGAUAGCAUACUAAGCAAUUGCAUCAAUUGAAUACAAAGGACUAGAAAAGCACACUCAAGAACUACAGAAGCUCAUUCAAGAUUGUUUGGUACCCGUGCAAUGAUAUACUUAUAUGAAGUAAUGACUGUCAGUCUUAUUAUAGGCGAAAGAUAGGUAGGAAUGUACUACAUUCACUACUUUAUUUCUAGGAAUUUUGUUUCUCUCAGAAUCAAAAGAAGUAAAUUGAUACAGCUAGGCACCACAUCCAUAGAGAUGACAGGAAAGCUGCAAAUUUAGGUUUAGAUAUGGUAAAACUAUGUUUUUUAAAAAAAAAAUCUUUUAUCUUAUUCCUAUGUUUAGAAGUCAAGCUACAGUAUCAAGCUCAAUAGUAGGGUACACAAAAUAUUAUCCAAGUUUAAAUUUAAGUAGACCGGUUGACCGGUCUGGAAAAUAGGCCAAUCAAUUGCCAGUCUGCAGCAUAGGUUGAUCAGUUGAGUGCACUUAUCACCUGAGAGCAGUGCUGCAAUACCUGAGUUUGAAUGAGAUUUCAACAAAAGUUCACUUCAAACUAAAUGGUUCAGAUACCAUUUUUGGGAGAAUGUACCAGUUUCAGAUAGAUAACAAAUAAGGGAUUGGUUUAGUCCUAUUAGAAAUUAUAUAUCAAUCUGUUUUGUGUGUAUGAAGGUUGUAAAACCUCCAAAAGUGCAACAAACAAAAUUGCGUAUUAUGUCGUUGACAGAGACUUUAAGGAACUGAUAAGGUUAUUUAGAUUUUUUUUCAGUGAGCAUUAAGAUCUAAUAUUCUAUUCCUGCAUGAUUCCCUUUUUUUUUGUCUGUCCCUCCAUAGCACUUAUCUACCUCAAUACAUCCUUAAAACUUUCUCCUUUAACAAACUUCGAUUUCUAAAGAAUCUUUCUAUCCAUCUUAAAUCAUCUGAGCAAGGACUGUAUGCUGUGCCAUGCUGGUUUUGUGGGCUGCAAUCGACAAUGGCAUGUCCUUGAGCUGCAGCAUAUUGGAAGCUGGUUUUCCACAAAGAUCAAGCCCUUCUUCAAGCACUCUAUGGUAGCACUGUGGUCAUGAUUGACAAGCUUUGAUGGCAGCGAAGAGGCCUCCAAGGGUGAUCUACAAAAGCAGGCGGAAGUCCAUAGGGAGGAAGAGGAGCAUAGUAGUCAUUCCAAUAGGGAGCAAUAAGGAUUAGCCUUCUUUUUCCUUUUUUUCCCUGGAACAUUCUUUUCUUUCAGUCACAUUGUCACUCAUCUGCCCCAAUGUAGACCACUAUCAACAACUCCUCAAGCCCCACUCGUGGCCAUCAAGUAAGGUUGAGAACGGGUCGGAUAAUAUCUUAUCCACCCAGGUCCAAAUCCAAGAAGGGCUGGAUACGGGUUGUUCACUAUUCCUCUUGGAUUUGGUUUCGAAUUUGAACCUUGCGUCAGAAACUUUUCCCAAUGGGAUUUGGAAUUGGAUUAGAGUAUUUUCUCUCAGAUUUGAAUGCAGAUUAGGGUAUUAGAUUAUCCAAAUUCGAAACUAGUUUGAUUGAAUAGAUAACAAACAAUAAGUCUAAGUACGCAUUGUUUUCUUGAAUUUCACGAUUUUUCUAUGUUUGUUACAAUUUUAACGUGUUCAUAUUGCUGUCAACUCUUCCUCUCUACUGUUAGUCCUAUACUAUUGUUUAAUAUAUAUGUCAUAUCUGUAACUGCUCAAUAUCUAAUCUUGCAUCUGAUUCCUAUCUGUAUUGGUCUUCACUAAAUAUGGGUUUGAAUUUUACUAUCCAUUCGGCAUUCGAAUCUGUGUGUGACAUAUCUAGUAUGUUGUCAAGCAGCCGUCAAGGAUCUUAUUGAAUCUUGGGCCAAAAGACCACUAUCCAAUCCUCAACAUAGCGCCAUCUGCCCCCGCGCAAACUGAUAUACCAACAAAGUACUGUAUGAUGCUAGUGACAGCAUCCAACUGGUAUAGAGAGGUACCAUAAUAAAGCAAUCCAUAUAUCAAAUUUGGUAGAAAUUGAGUCAGGAAUAUUAUUAACACCUUUAAAUAACAGACCCAAACCAAUCAGUCGACUACCAUUUUGUGCCAGCCACAAGCUACACUGUCAAAUGGUCAACCUCCCUAACCCAAGUGAAUUGGUCAAUCAGUUCAACCAUGCAGCAAAACAGGAGGUUAUCCGUUUCUCCAUUACUCCUUCCUAUUCACCAACUUAGCAAAUGUACAAACUAGAUCCUUCUUUGAUUCCCUUCAUUUUCUCACAGCUACUUGAAUAUAAUUUGCUUUGCAAGCAACAACUGCAAAUACCAGCUUGAAUCAUUAAGUUGCUAACCUCCGCCACUUAAUUGCUUAAUUACAGCCUUAAAUUUAUUUUCACUAGUACAACUUAUAGGCUCAAAAUCAAAAAAUACAUGACACACCACUUCAUCCGAUGUUAGCAACUUACUUCAGCAAUAGAAGGGGCCUUGGUCAUCAUCUAAAGCAAGUAACUGUACCAGGAUUCCCUUCUGAUACAAAAGAUAAUCAAACCCAAUAGAGUAAAUUAUAUGAGAGCCUUACUCAUUUUCUAAAGCAUGCAACUGUAGCAGGAUUCCCUUCUGAUACAAAAAAUAAUGCAAGCCCACUAUUGUAAAUUAUAUGAGAUUAACAUUCAUUUUAAAAAAGAGAAUUUAAAAGGGUAUAGAAAAUUGGUGCAGCAAAGGCUCCACAAAUACAUAACUAUUGCAUGACAAAUAUUCUAACACAUAAAAAUUUUCCACUUUUAUCUACUUUUACCCAAUUAUAGAUGAUCACCCAAACUAUAGUUUUUCCAUAAAAUACAUGAACAAUAUGACUGUUUUAGUCCACGACCAGCACAAUAUUUGCAUCCAUUUUCAGUAAUUGAUGUAAGUUGUGUGGCUCGAAAGUGAACCCUGAAAGUUUUGAUCGUAUUACUGUUCUUUUAAAUGCGAUGCUGAUUUUGGGGACAAUAUAGACAAAUGGUUUGACAAAGUUGAUGGCUGUUACUGAAAAAUGACAAAGACACAGGUGAUGUAAGGAUGGAAAAAUUCAAAUUGGUUUUAAUUUGAAAAAUAAAAGUUUGAAGACCAUCUAUAAUUGACUAAAAGUUCAGGGCGGUGCUACUAUAUUUUCCCUCAUUUUAAUUGCUUAAAUGCACAAAUGUGGAUUAAAAAGUAAGAUUCCAAAUAAAAUAACAGCCUAACAAAAAGAGGUGCAUUGUAGAAAAUUGCCAAUACUCAAGGAGCAACCAAAAUACAUCUAUAAACUAUAAUAGAAGAUUGUGACCACAAAAACACAGUACUAAGGCUCAACUAAGUCUAAUGCAAUUCUAAAUAGGUUGGUCAAGGCAAGCAGCCAAGCAACAACACGAGAAAAGAAUGCAUCAUAACUAGGUGUUGCAUUUUAGAACAAGCUAAAUAACCGAACUGUACAAAAAGUACAUACAUUUGAUAAACUUUUCAACACAUAUAUGCUUAGUUUGAAGGCCUAUUUGGCCCCAUUUAUGACUCCACUCUCAGCUCCAACGAAAACUAGUAGAACAUUUGGAAAUCAAAAAGAAAAAAAAACUAGAGCUUUUUUCUUGCGGCAGAAAGCAGAAAUAAUAUUCUCAGCCCCAAAAUAAGAAGCUCAAUUUGAAAGUUCUGGUGCUGCAAAGAGGAACCGUUAAGGGCAUCAUAAUACAGUACUUCAUUGGAAGGCACCAUACUAUAUAGCAAGGCCAAAUAGCCCUUGAUUUAUCUUGUAGAUUUUGGCUCAAGUGGACCAAAGAGCACAGAUAUUAAUCCCAUAAAGGGAAUGUCCUUCCCAACUUUCAGAGCUUUUAAAUAAAUUAUAUAAUGACAUGUAGAGUCAAUUAAAUUGAAACAUAUACAUUAUGGCAUGCAUUGUGACUAUUGAGCUCUACACCUAUAAUUUUAAUGCCUCAUGUGCAGCAUCCUGGCCCAUUAGCACUAUUAACUCAUUGGGCCCAAACCACCGGCCCAAAUGCUUAAGCCCAAUUAUUAGUUCUAAUGUGCCUGCCACAUAUAAACCCCUCGCGCUCUUCCAUAUUAUCUGAUGUAAGACUAAUGAAGUGCCACAUACUCUCUCCGUUUUAGGCCCUAACGUCCUCGUCAGCAAUCAGACAUAUAGACAACGAUCACCAAGCAAUGUGAGGCCGACCUCACAAUUCCAACUGGUGUCCGAUACCAACUGUAACAACCCAGCCCACAAGCACUAAUUACCCAUUGGGCCCAAACAAUCAGACCAAAAUGCUUAAACCCAAUUAUUAGUUCUAAUGUUGCCGUCACAUGCAAGACCCUCAUGCUCCCCCACAUUAUCCAAUGUGGGACUAAUGGGGCAUCACAUCAUGAAAUAAGAUAUUGUUUUGACUUGAAGAAUACUUGGCAUACCGUUCAUUCAAAUACAUCAAAGUCUAGAAUUGAAAAAUAGGAAACUACAAAAAUAAAGUAGGGCAAACUAUGUGCUGCCAAAGGCACGAAAGGAAAACUUAUAAUAUUACCAAAUUGAAAAAAAAAAAAGUAUGACUAGUUAGUGAUUGAGACAGAUAAAUUUUUUAUAAGCAUGGCAAACUCAUAUAUGAGAGACACUAUGUCAAACCACCAUUUUCUUUCUACUAUUUUGUCUAAUAACUUUGGUCUCAAAUAGCAAUUGGAAAACUUCGCAUAAUUUUGCAAGUUCAAAAAGAAAAUUCCAAAAAAUUUUGAAAUAUUUCCUUUCUUAUUAUGGCUAAUUUUUCCAUGUGCUCUUCAAGCUACCUAAAUUUCAAAUUUUGAGUUUUUUGCACUAAAGUUUUGGGAAGAUCGAUGGGAUUUAUGAUCAGUCAAAAGUAGAAGGAAAAAAAUCAACACAAGCGUUAAUAUUAUAUGUUUAUGACUCUGUUCAACAAAAAGUAAUGAAUUUUGCCCAAGAAACUAAAAUUGGCGAAAUCAUCGUAAACUAAACCUUAACUGGGCAAGUUCAACCAAAACAGCCAAGAUAACAAGCUUAGCAAUUUUGCACAAACUGAUCGACUGCUGUCAAAUCUUUAAAUCUACUAAAAUAGCCAUUUCUAUAUUCUCUUUAAAUUGGUAGAGUACAUCCAGCAACAGUACAGAAGAGGCCCUAGUUUACGAUAUCAGAUCAUAAAAAAAAAACCAUAAAUAUAAUAUGCACACAACAAGAUAAUGAUUGUCUUCAUAUUAUAGGUAUUGCCACUAAGAAGCUACACAAAUCUAAACUAGAUAUCAUCCCUUCAAGUCAGUAAGUCAUUGCUUUUACAGGCAUAUGGCUUGCACUAACUUGAUAUUCGUUAUUAAAAGACUAAGAAAUAAUUUAUAAGAUAGGUCAAGGACACAGAUCGAAUAUGCUGAUCGAUAUUUCAAAAGGCGGUAUGCGGUAUCCAUGAGGUUAUCCACUGCAUAGUGCAUAAACGGUAUGCAGGACCAUAUACGUGAGCAUAUGCAGUCCAGCUAUUAAAACAUUAAACACAAUUAAUAGGUAUUAAAAACAUGUAUAAAUACUUCUUAGCAAAGCUAAAUAACUAAAGUAACAAUUCAGAAUUUACAAAUUGAUAUAACUAACUUAAGUAAAGGACCUCAUAUGCACACAUGUAUCACUUAACUAAAAAUGAAUAAUUUACAUUAAUUAUAAAUAGAGAAAUAAAUAGAAUUUAGAUGCAAAAUCUAAAAAAAUAAAACAAAAAUCAAUGUUUAAAACAACGGUAUGCUAAACUUUUAUGAAGAAUAAUAAUUUUUUCAAUAAAUUAUCAUUCACAUUAUUUGACAGACCAACACUUAAAAAAAUAUAUAUAUAUCAAAUAUAGUAUCUAAAAACUANUAUAUAUAUAUAUAUAUAUAUAUAGAGAGAGAGAGAGAGAGAGAGAGAGAGAGAGAGAGAUAUAUAUAUAUAUAUAUAUAUAUAUAUAUAUAUAUAUAUAUAUACAUACCGAAAAUCAUGUUUAGAUUAAUUAUUAUUUUGUAUAUUUACGUCAAUAGAAAUAUAUUUAUAUUGGAUUGAUAGAGGAGAGAGAGAAUAGGCAACUUUCAUUGACCGCCUAAUCAAAUUUCUUAGUUUAGAUAGUGUAUGAGAAGGCCCGACAAAACCCUUGAAUGGCUUCUUCUAUUUCUCAAUAAAGAGAAAUAUGACCAAGAGUUUUAACUUUCACUUUACCAAGAUUUUCUUUCUCGGAUAUAGGCCCCCAGCUGUAGAUGGCUAAGGCAACUAUUCAAUCAAAUGAUAUUGAGUAUGUUUUCCAUCUCUUCUUGAGAAACAAGUACCAACAGGUAUAAUCCCCCCCAGAACAACGUUCUCUUUCAGGCCUUUCAGCCAAUCAAUACGUCAGGCUACAGGGUAUUAACCACUGUUUCCGGUUGUUGUUCCCCUCCGAAUAAUUCCUUUGGGUAUCGUCUUGUUUUAGCCAAUCUCAGUAUAGGUUUUUUUUUAUGGACCGCAAUUUCUAGUAUUGCUCCUAUUGGGCUUCUUAUGUCAGGAUAUGGAUCAAAUAAUAAAUAUUCCUUUUUAGGUGGUCUACGAGCUGCUGCUCAAUCUAUUAGUUAUGAAAUACCAUUAACUCUAUGUGUGAUUCGUUGGAAUCUUGGAUAUUCUAUUCUGCCAAGUGGUAGUGAUCCUGCUCAUCUAUUUCUCUAUCUCUGUUAUAACUGAUCAAAACUGAACAACCUAAGAUGCCUGUGCCCAUAAGAAAUCUCGAAGCCACCUGUUAACAGUAAUGGAAUUUUGUAAUCAGGGAAUUAUUAUGUGGGAUUAAGGAAUAUCCAUCUUGACAAGAAAUUAUCUAUAUGUUGAGAUAUCUAUGACAAGGACUUAUAGUUCAAUUCGGUAGAGCCGUAGAGCACCUCGUUUAUACGUACGCCAAUGCUUUUCAAGCGAGCUUACUAUGCACUGAACAUAAUUGAUCUUAUUGAAAAAUCAAUGUCUUACUCCAUAGAUUCGAGAGAACAAUAGCCUGACAAAUAUUUGGUUCGGUCCGAUUUUGGUGCGAAUUUAGGAGCCAAAGCAAUUAGAACCCGUCAUUGUUCCUAAGAAAAGGAAUUUGUCCAUUUCAUUUCAAGGUCUGAAAAUAAGGCGUGGAAACACAUAGGAACUCUUGAAUGGAAAUUGAAAAGAAAUGUAGUUCCAAUUCCUUCGGAAAUGGUCAGAUCUUUGGCGCAAGAAAAAAGGGUGAUCUAUAUCAUCUGGACCUAGCUUUGCUUUCCCUCUUUUUUAACAAGACCGAGUCAGGUUCUUCUCCUAACAAUAUUGAAUAGAAUAUUAAUGAACAAAAUCUUCUUCACGUAAAAUCUACUCAAUUUAGAUCGAGAAAAUCAUGCAGAUUUUAUGAAUAAGAAUUGAAUAUUCAGUAAUAAAAUCAUUCAUUCCAAAGUAUGAUAGAUUUUUUGAAAAAUUGAUUAAUCGGACGAGAACAAAGAGAGAGUCCCAUUCUACAUGUCUUAUGUAUCCUAAAGGUGUCCGUGGACCGGAUCGGAUCUAGGUAGUUGAUAUACUAUACCCGUACCCUAAAAAGAAAUGGAUACAAAAAAAAAAACUAUACCCUACCCAUUUAACUUCGGAUCGAGUCUGGUUCUAGAUACUUAAAUUAAUAAUAUACCCAUCGGGUCUAUUUGAGCGGGUAUGGGUAGUGACUACCCGUAUACUACCCGCUUAAAACUGGAUAUUAAUCGGGUACGGAUCGGGUCUAGAUCGGGUAUGAAUACGUAUGCAUAUAUUUUUUAUAAAUUUUAUUAAACAGUUUAUUGACAAAUUAUAAACCUAUUACUAUAAACAAUUCGCAUUCUAAUUAGUUGCAGCCAGUCUAAUAAAAUUCGGUCAAAAGGAAGAUUCAAGCAGUAAACAGCUAGAAUUAAAUAAAAAGAGUAAAAAAAAAAAAAAAAAAAAAAAAAAAAAGAUGAGUAAACAAAGAGACUAGGGUUUUCACUAGGAUGAAAAUAUACAGAGAUCCUUCAUUUACAAGUCCUAUAGAAAUUGAUCUCUCAACUUCACAUUUUUUUAUUUACUAUUGGGUACUUCACCGGGCCGAGUUCCGAAUCCGGUUCCGGAUCUGGAUUUGAAAACUCUUCCAGACCCUACCCAUUAGAAGUUCGGGUUCGGAUCGGGUCCAAAUCGGGUAUAGGUAUACAAUAUCCGGACCCAUACCCGAAACUUUAAUGGAUAAAUUUUUUUAUCCGUAUACUAUCCAUUUAUUAUCGGGUCCGGUUCGGAUCCGGGUAGGGUCCGGAUAGGUUCCGGAUCGGGUAUGGUAUAUCGGGUAUUUUGGACAGCUUUAAUGUAUCCAUAGUUGCUAUAUUGGAUUUGAAUCAGAUUUCGAAUCAAUCUUUAUUGAUUGACUGCCUCCAUUAUGUUGUUGCUAGCAAAUACCGUUGUUUUUAGUUUUGGAUCUUUCGUUGGAUAGACACCUUUCCAUACUUUGUAUUUGGAGUACUUCACUUAAUUUCCUCUCCAAUCUUAGCUUUGGCUGUAUUUAUCAUGCGCUUCUCGAACCUGAGACUCUUGAAGAAUCUGAAGUCGUCAAACGAAAAUGUUGAUUUGAAACCGAACUUGGAAAGAAAAGGCGAAUGAGUGGGCUUCAAUAAAAUGGAAGUUGGCGGCAUCGUUCAAAUUCAUAAAGACUUGAAGAUAAAUAAAUGCAAUCACUACGAGAAAUGGGAAUAGGAUCUUCCCUAAUAAACCUAGACUUAGGGUUUCCUAGUCUAAUUUGGGAUUGCCUUGAUCAACCUACCCGUCAAUGAUCGAUGAAGGCCAACUCGAUAAGAAGGAAAGUAUUAUUAAGCUGGAAUGUUAAAAGUCUCCAUGGCCUCAGGCUUUCCGACUCACAAUGAUGUCGGAGGGAAUCAGCCGGGACAAAGCAAAGUCCAAACAAACAUAUACAUACAUACAUAUAAAUAUUAAUAUAUAUAUAUAGUAUAUAUAUAUAUAGAGAGAGAGAGAGAGAGAGAGAGAGCUGGGCUUCUAUACUAUUUAUAGUACCGGACCUCUGGUGCUAUAGGCUCGUUUUCGAUCUUAGGGUGUUCAAAUUAAUGAUCUACACCAUUAAAACGGAUCUAGGGUUUUUGAAAUUUUUAGAAAUGAAAUUUUAUAUUUUUUCGAUAUAGUUUACUUUAUGAUCAAACUAUUUCAAAUUUGUCAAAUUUCAAUGGCUACUAUGGCGAGUUUGUAGUUUAACAGCGUAGAAGAAUCUAAAUUAAUUCAAAUUUUGAUAGAAAAUACUUUAAACUAUCUAGAUUAAGGUCAACAUCCUUGAUCUUGAAUUUAAAAGUCCUAUCCUCAAAUUUUAAAGAUUGUUCAGUUUCCACCGUUUAUUUUGACAUGACUUAUUUCCUAAGCAAAUGAUGUUGAAAAAAAUUAAAAUUUUAUUCCUAAAAACUUCAUAUACCCUAGAUCAUAUUUGACGGUGUGGAUCGUUGAUUUGAACACCCAAAGAUCGAAAACUAGACUAUAGUACCGAAGCUCCGGUACUAUAGAUAGUAUAGUAGCCUCAUUCUAUAUAUAUAUAUAUAUAUAUAUAGAGCUAGGCUGAUAUACUAUCGGUAGCACGAAAGCUUCCGUACAACCACCUUGUUUUCAAUAAUGUGGCUUCCAAAUCAACGAUCGGCUCCGUUAGACUUGAUCUACACUAUUAAAAGUAUUUGGAAACUAAAUUUCAUAAUUUUUCGACAUCAUUUGGCUAGUGAUCACAAGGUCUCAAAAUUGACAAUUUUAAUGGUCGAUGUGAUGCGUUUGUGAUUUUAACGGUGUAAAACAAUCCAAAUCGGAUGCAAUUUUUAUAGAAAAUUAUUUUCACUAUUUAGAGUAAGAUCAAUACCUCUGAUCUUAAAUUCAAGUCUUUUAUCAUCAUUUUUUAUGAGAUUUUUAUUUUCAGCCGUUCAUUUUUGGACUACUCGUUUGAUAGGUAAAUGAUGUCGAAAAAUUAUAAAAUUUAGUUUCCAAAUACUUUCAAUAGUGUAGAUCAACUCUAACGGAGCCGAUCGUCGAUUUGUAAGCUAUAUCAUUGAAAACAACUUGGUAACACGGUGCUACCGAUAGUAUACCAACCUAACUCUAUAUAUAUAUAGAGAGAGUUUUGCUAGAAUACUAUCGGUAGUAAACGAGGCUCGGUUUACUACCGAUUUGUUUUCGAUGAUAGAGCUUCCAAAUUGAUGAUCGGCACCGUUAAACAUCAUCUAAACUAUUUAAACUAUCUAAAAAUCAAAUUUCACACAUUUUCGAUAUUGUUCUCUUAUCCAUCAAGUGAAAAAAAAUAAAUGGCUGGAAAUGAAUAUCUUCAAAAAGUGAUGAUACAAUUUUUAUAUUUGAGAUCUAGAGUCUAGAUCUUAUUUUAAAUAGUUUAAAGAAUUUUUUAACAAAAAUUUAGUUGAUUUGAACUCUUCUAUACCGUUAAACGAGCAAAGCAGCAUAUUGGCCAUUAAAAUUAUAGAUUUUGUGACCCUUUGAUCGUUCAGUUAGUGAUGCCAAAAAAUCAUGAAAUUUGAUUUCUAGAUAAUUCAAAUGGUCUAGAUCAUGUUCAACGGUGCCGAUCGUCGAUUUGGAAGCUCUAUCCGGAGCAGUUUACUACCGAUAGUAGCCCAGUCAAACUAUAUAUAUAUAUAUAUAUAUAUAUAUAUAUAUAUAUAUAUAGAGAGAGAGUAGGGCUAAUAUACUCUUAUGAGUAUAGAGCCUUCGUACUCAUAAGUUGUUUUCGAUGUUCGGGCUUCCGAAUUGACGAUCCAUACCGUUAAACAUAAUCUAGAGUAUUUGAAACUUCUAGAAAAUAAAUUUCGUAUUUUUUCGAAAUCAUUAUAAAAUCCAUCAAGCAGAUAUAAAAUGAACGGUCAAAAUCAACCGACGUCAAAAAAUGGAUGAUUGGAUCCUUGAAUUUAAGAUCGGAGUUAUUGAUCUUCAUCUAGAUAGUGAAUAGAAUUUUCUAUCAAAAUUCACCCUAUUCAAUUCUUUUACACCGUUAAACUAGCAAGUAUCUCAUACGCGGCCGUUAAAAAUUGUCAAUUUGUGAGCUUUUGAUCGUAAGAUAAAUAUGUCGAAAAAUUAUGAAAUUUGAUUUCUAGAAGUUUUAAAUACUCUACAUAAUAUUUAACGGUAUGGAUCGUCGAUUCGGAAGCUCUAUAAUUGAAAACAACUUAUGAGUACGAAGGCGAUCGUACUUAUAAUAGUAUAGUAGCCGGACUCUAUAUAAAUAUAUAUAUAUAUAUAUUUAUAUAUAAUAUAUAUAUAUAUAUAUAUAUAUAUAUAUAUAUAUAUAUAUAUAUAAUAUAAUAUAUAUAUAUAUAUAUAUAUAUAUAUAUAUAUGUAUGUAUGUAUGUAUGUAUGUAUGUAUGUAUACAUACAUACAUAUGUAUGUAUGUAUGUAUGUAUGUAUGUAUACAAUAUAUAUAUAUAUAUAUAUAUAUAUCAUACAUAUGUAUGUAUACAUACAAUACAUAUAUACCUACAUACAUACAUAUAUAUAUAUAUAUAUAUGGAGCUAGGCUACUAUACUAUCUAUAGUACGAGCUCCGGUACUAUAGUGUUGGUUUUCGAUCUAGGGCAUUCAAAUCACAAUCCACACCGUUAAAACUGAUCUAGGGUAUUUAAAGUUUUAGAAAUAAAAUUUUAUAUUUUUUUGACAUAGUUUACUUUAUGAUCAAACUAUUUCAAAAUUGUCAAUUUUCAAUGGCUAUUAUGAGAGUUUAGAGUUUAACGGUGUAGAAGAAUCUAAAUUUCUUCAAAUUUUGAUAGAAAAUACUUUAAACUAUAUAGAUUAAGAUUAACAUUCUUGAUCUUGAAUUUAAAGUCCUAUACUCAAAUUUUAAAGAUUAUUCAAUUCCACCGUCCAUUUUGAUAUAAUUUAUUUACUAAGAAAACAAUAUCGAAAAAAACUAAAUUUUAAUUCCUAAGAAAUUCAUAUACCUUAGAUCAUAUUUAACGGUGUGGAUCGUUGAUUUGACGCCCUUAAGAUCGAAAACAACACUAUAGUACGGAGCUCGGUACUAUAGAUAGUAUAGUACCUAAUUCUAUAUAUAUGUAUGUAUAUAUAUAUAUAUAUGUAUGUAUGUAGGUAUAUACAUACAUAUAUAUACAUACAUAUAUACCUCCAUACAUACAUAUAUAUGUAUGUAUGUAUAUAUACAUACAUAUAUCCUACAUACAUACAUAUAUACCUACAUACAUACUAUAUACCUACAUACAUACAUAUAUAUAUAUAUUAAUACAUAAUAUAUACCUACAUACAUACAUAUAUAUAUAUAUAUACAUAAUAUAUAUAUAAUACAUAUAUAUAUAUAUAUAUACAUACAUAUAUACCUACAUACAUACAUAUAUAUAUAUAUACAUAUAUAUAUAUAUACAUAUAUAUAUAUAUAUGUAUAUAUAUAAUACAUAUAUAUAUAUAUAUAUGUAUAUAAUAUAUAUAUAUAUACAUAUAUAUAUAUAUAAUUAUGUAAUAUAUAUAUAAAAGUUAAGGAUUAGUAAUCCUUUGAGAAAUUUAAUGGAUUCGGUCUUAUACAUACGCGAGGAAGCUAAUCAAAAAAAAGCAGAUGAGUUCUUCUUCCCUUUAUCACUUAGGAGCCGUGCAAGAUGUGUUCGAGUGUAUCCGACUACUUCCUCUCGAACCAUACUAUACUGUAUUAUUAUUCUGGAAUUGGAAAAAUUCGGUGCUAUCAUAGUGUCAGCUAAUUUCACAGGCGGAGAUAAGCGGACUCGAACCGCUGACAUCCGCCAGCGGUAAACUGCUUUAGUUAAGCUUUAAGAAAAAUUCUAUUUAUUCUUAUAUAUAUAUAUAUAUAUAUAUAUAUAUAUAAAGAAAGAGAGAGAGAGAGAGAAGAGAGUUAGUUCACGAUGCUUUUGAAAGCAACAGAGGCCUCCGUGCUUUCAAGUUGUUUUCAAUAAUAGGACAUCCGAUGCAGCCAUCGGAUCCACUAGAAAUGAUCUACUAUAUUAGAACUAUCUAGAAAACUAAAAUUUAUAAUUUUCGACUUUAUUUGACUUAAUUUGCACACAAGUCCGUACACUCUAUAUACACAUGUAUAUGUAUAUACAUAUACACAUACAUAUGCCAAUGUAUGUAUGUGUGUGCUAAUCCAUUCAACAUUACAUUCCAAUCCCACCUUAAAAAAAACAACUUUUAAUGUAUAUGCAGUCGCAUGCCACAUAUGCAACCACAUAUGGGCCGCAUAUGCGGUUCGACUACAUAUUGUACCAUGUACUAAAUAUGCGAUGUGAUUUAUGGUCGAACUGCAUAUACCGCUAUAUAGCUGCCUUUUGAAACAUGAUGCUGAUGCAAGUUACAGAAAAGCACUUAGUUUCACAUUGUAGUAGACAAGCGGGGGUAGAAAGCAAGAACAUCAACCAAUGCCCGGACAAAAGAAGAGCAAGCAUAAGACUCCUUGCAAGGCGAAUUCUGGAAGAACC